GCAGCCUGCAACUCGGCUGCAUGAAGCUGGAAUCGCUAGUAAUCGCAGAUCAGAAUGCUGCGGUGAAUACGUUCCCGGGUCUUGUACACACCGCCCGUCACACCAUGGGAGUUGGGAAUGCCCGAAGUCAGUGACCCAACCGCAAGGAGGGAGCUGCCGAAGGCAGGCUUGAUAACUGGGGUGAAGUCGUAACAAGGUACC
rnacentral:rRNA from 1 species